ACUAGGGAUCGGGCGAUGGUAAUUUAACUGACUCGUUCGGCACCUUAUGAGAAAUCAAAGUCUUUGGUUCCCGGGGGGAGUAUGGUCGCAAGGCUGAAACUUAAAGGAAUUGACGGAAGGGCACCACCAGGAGUGGAGCCUGCGGCUUAAUUUGACUCAACACGGGGAAACUCACCAGGUCCAGACAUGGUCAGGAUUGACAGAUUGAGAGCUCUUUCAUGAUUCUAUGG
rnacentral:rRNA from 1 species